rnacentral:SRP_RNA from 1 species
GCUGGGUGUGGUGGUGUGCACCUGUAGUCCAAGCUACUUGGAGGCUGAGUCAGGAGAACUGCUUGAGCCUGGAAGAGAGAGGCUGCAGUGAGCUAUGACCAUGCCACUGCACUCCAGCCCAGGCAACAGAGCGAUACCCUGUCUCAA